GACGAACGCUGGCGGCGUGCUUAACACAUGCAAGUCGAACGAAGUGGCGAACGGGUGAGUAACGCGUAAUCAACCUGCCCUUCAGAGGGGGAAAACAGAUGAAAAAGACUGCUCAUACCGCAUAAUGAAGGAGGGGAUUGCGUCUGAUUAGCUAGUUGGGGGGGUAACGGCCAACCAAUGGGAUGAUCAGUAGCCGGGCUGAGAGGGUGAACGGCCACAUUGGGACUGAGACACGGCCCAGACUCCUACGGGAGGCAGCGGUGGGGAAUCUUCCGCAAUGGACGAAAGUCUGACGGAGCAACGCCGCGUGAGUGAUGACGGCCUUCGGGUUGUAAAGCUCUGUUAAUCGGGACGCGGUACCGGAAUAGAAAGCCACGGCUAACUACGUGCCAGCCGCCGCGGUAAUAC
rnacentral:rRNA from 1 species